AUGAUUUUCAAAUUGAAUGAUUUUUUUUUCAAAUUGAAGUUCAUAAUACAUUAAAUUAGGCAUUUUAAGGGGAAUUUGGUACAUUUAGUACAUGCACAACCACCACCUCUAUCUAGUUUCAGACUAUUUUCAUCACCCCCAAAAGGAAAGGAAACUGCACUUUUAGCAGUCACUUCCAGGAAAUCUCUUCCUCCAAGCCCUGGGCAACCAUUAAUAGGCUUUCUGCCUAAAGAUUUGUCUAUUUUGGACAUUUUAUAUAAAUGGAGUCAUGUGGUACAUGGCCUUUUAUGUCUGGCUUUUACUUAGCAUAUGUUUUCAGGAUUCAUCCAUGUUGUAGCAUGCAUCAGUGAGAAAUCAACAUCUGUGCUGAGGGAUCCUUCUCUUCCCUCUACUUUUUCUAGUGGCUGUGCAGCAACCCACUGCUACCUGGCACAUAGCAGACAUGGAUGACUUUGCUGUCUUCCAGCACAAGUGGUUUGAGGUGGCCUUUGUGUCAGAAGAGCUCUUGCACUCCAAGAUUACUGCCUUCCUCCUGCCCUGGCUGCCCAGCUGGCAGCCUCCUACACAAGCAGGCAUAGCUCCUUUAGUCACAAUUUUGGAGGAUGGAGCCAAGUAGUCACACUUUUGGUAAAUGCUUGGUCCAGCUGGAUGUGGGGAUGUAUGAGGAGGUGCCUGGGAAAGGGUAGCAGCUAACCAAGGGAAUGAUGCCAUGCAAACUAGGAUUAGACUUUUUAUAUCUCCAUACCUGCCACUGUUUUUUUGGCACUUUGGACUCUUGUGCUCUCUUCACUGACUGAAUUGAUCCAACUUCAUUGUUUUCCCAGCCAAGAGAUAUAUUUAGCAUUUCUCAAAUCAGAGCAUGGUGCCAAAUUGCAAUUAUAGAAGGCAAUAGAAAAUGUGACCCUUAGGAUACAGGGGUGUAAGCUGGUGCUCACUGCAGAUUUAGUUCCUGCCAGAUGCCUUCCCUUGAACUCUAGCAUCUGAGGAUCUCAGAAAAGGAAGGAACCUGAAAGGUCACCCAGUGCAGACACUGGAUGCCUUCCUCCCCAGAUGUACUUACCAAACUGAAAGAUAUCAGUUGGAAAUAUUUUCCCCUUUUCAUGGUUCCUGAAACUCUUAAGAUUUUAAGAUAGGGGUGAAUACCUGCUUAUGAAAAGGAAAUGAUGAUGACCUUUGAUAGGAAAUAGAGACUUCUACUCUGGAGGACCAGCCCAAUGGGUUGUUUAAAAAUCAAAUAAAUAGUGUUCUCUGGGUAAAGCACCAUAGGACUUACCUCUACAUUAGGUUGGAGAGAUCCUGGGAACCUGGAAGGAAGAAAGUAGCCAUAAAGAUCAAACUCCAAUGAAAUGCCUUGUUCUGCUUUAUUUGCCUAUAAAGGCCCUGCUAGUGGAAUUCUUAUCUGGCCGCUAGAAUGGAAAUGUUAAUAGCCAUCACAAUUUCCAGAGCUUUGGAUUUGCUGUGAUCUGGGUGUGGCUCUGACCUUACCUCACAACAUGCAAAGGGAUAGGAGGACAGUGCACAGCCCUGAGAAAAGUAGCUUCUUCUCCUCUCUCUCAGGCUGGCAUGGCUUAUCCUUCUCCCCUUUAUUGUGUUUCUAAUUCUCCAUCUCUUAGAAAUUAUUUGGGAUCAAAGAGAGGUUUAUCCUGGGGAACUCAUUUCAGCAACCUAAACUAUGUAAAGCACUCUGAGGACUUGAGACCAAAGACCUGUGAGCACCUGGAACAGCAAGCAGCAGGCUGGUAUGUUUUAUACCAUGGAAGGGUCUAUUAGAAGCAACAAGUUAACAGGAGGAACCCUGAUGUCAGUGGGAAACAAAGUCAAUAGUCCAACAAUAAAAAAGGGAGGCAAGAAAACAUAAUGCAAAUAUAGCAAGUACAAGAACUUAUUAAGUACAAUUAGUCAUUUAUUUAUAGCACUGGAUUAUAUAUGGGAAAUAUCUCAAGAAACCAGUUUUAAUGCCGUUUUCCCAUUAAAUCAAGUUGAUGGAGUCAUGUUUUAAAGCCAUUUUUUCUGUUUAUAUACAAAUUAAGAAUUCUCAUCUUCUCAGAAAAGCAAGAGUUAAGCUAGAAAGCUAAUUAUUUUUGGACAUAUACCAAAGAGAAUUGAAAAUUCAACUUCCCACUGUCUUCAAGGUUACUUUUUGAAACAAAGACACAAUGAGUUACUUUAAAUAAAUAUUGGACCAUGUUUGGUGACAUUGUGUUUACCUAAGAGCUGAAGGAAGCAAAAAAGUUUCUGAAGAGCCUAAUAAAAUAAAAUGAGAGUCUCUCAACCAGCAAGAGCCUAUUUACUGAGUUCCUUCAAUUUUGGUUACAGGUCAGUCGAUAAUACCCCAGAUGAUAGAUAGAGAAUUAGGGACAAAUGAUGGCAGCAGGAGAACUAAUCCAUUUUGGCAAAAUGUUUUUCAAAAUAUACCUAUUACAUUUCAGUCCUUUGAAGGUGGGAGAUAAUUAUCACUUAUUUGGAAAAUGUUCUUUUCUUGAACAUGAUAAAAUGAACUAUUCCCAUGUAUAUCUUCUCAUGCAGGGCAUACAAACCUUAGAGUAGGGUUUCUCAACUUUGGCACUACAAUCAAUUUGGACCAAAUAAUUCUUCAUUCUUUUCUUUGUUUCUUUAUUGUGCUGAGGCUAGAAACCCAGGGCUUCAUACAUGUUAGGCAAAUGUUCUACUGCUGAGCUAUACCCAAAGCCCCAGAUAAUUCUUUAUUGUGGAUGGGGUAGAAGGCUGUCCUGAACAUUAUGGGAUUUUAGCAACAUCCCUGGCUUUCUCCACCUGGCUUCUGCCCACUGGAUGCCAACAGCACCCACCCACUGUGAUAGAAUGUCUCCUGAUAAUUGCCACAUUGUUGCAUGGGGGUUUCAGGAUUGCCUCCAGUUGAGAAUCCCUGCCCUAGGGUAAUUGGAGGAGUCCAUGGAGGAAGCAUGAUAGAGAGCUCAGGAUACCUGAGAGCUUUGAAGCACAUCAGUAACUUCCCUAAGCAGGACAAGAUAAAUAUUCUACCUCUGCUUUUAACUUUCUGCUGAGAACAAGCCUUAGGACACCCAUGUUACAGGGACCAAGAAGUUUGCUGAUAAGCUACUGAAGAAGUUCACUGACUUCUGCACCAACUGCAAUAACUGGCUGGUUAUGUUAUGAACAAGUUGUCUGAACAAGAUGCACACCAGUGCCCCAUGAAUCCAGGCCACUUGGCCCAAAAGAAUCCGGGCCACUCACGGGCAGAGGAUUCCUGUCAGGCUCUAAGGAUCAGGUUAUCAGUUUGCCUCUGCUAGUAAGUGGGAGCCCUUGCUUCUUUUUGGCCCUCCCACAAGUAUUCUAUUCUACUCAGGAGAAAGACUUGGGAAGCAGCUGCUGCUGCUACCACCACCCAGAUUCUGUCAGCAAGUGCCCAGAGCAGGUGGGAGGCACAGAUUUUCUGUGGGAGGGCUUCAGUGUUUGGGAAAGGGGGCAGGCAGCCCCCAUGAAUGUCUUUGGAGAAGGAAUGGCUCCUGUCAGCAUCCUUUUUUUCCACUGUGGAGUAAUAAGAGCAGAAUCUGCUGCUUCAUGUCCAGGAGUGUACGCAGUAUGAAUAGAAUUAAGUGAAAUAAUGUAACAUAGACUCAUACAAACUGUAUAUACCUGAACUUAUUAGAAGCUAAUAAAGCUUCACUUACA